GGUGGGGGGGGGGGGGGGCUGCCGUGCGGCGAGUCACAGGCUCACGCCGUGCUGCCCCUGGAGCAUUGCGGUCCUUGUAGGGACAGGAGGUCGCGGCGUGUUGUAGUGCGUCCGCGCCGAAUGCUAUGUUGUUGUUGUCGCCAUCUGUUGUGGUCCAGGAGGAGGAAGAGGAGGAGGAUGGAUGGCGACCAGCGCUGUGAGGGAGGCUGAGCCAAGGAGGUGCAGUACCGCUUCUCUCCUGCGGGGCGCCGUGAGGAGAUGGACAGCAAGACAAGAGAGCACCACACCAGACUGAUGGAUGAACACUACAAAUUCAAUGGCAGCUGUGUAGAAGUGUAUCAGCAGCUGCUGUGGUGUGACUGAGGAAGCCUCCCACAGACAAUAGGCACCAUUACCGGCUGAUGACUAAGAAAGGGAUCCUGCGGUGGAGUCGUUAUGGCAACAGAAGCCUGCCAAACUGUGCAGAAAAGGACCAGUAGGAACACCAUCUUGACCCCCACCACCCCUCAUUUCCAUAUGACAUUUCACAGAUAGGAGCUUAACAAGAUUGAUUUACAUGCGGGGGACAGGAUUUUGUGUAAGGUCGAAUCAAUAAUUGGAUUAUUCCCCUUACCUGCUGUAGUCUGUGUACAAAUACCACAUACGGCUUUUUGUAAGUAAAAUCAGUUGAUUUGAAGAAUGUAUCUUUUUUAUUUAGAAUAAAUAGAGGUGAACUAAUGUUAUCGUAUACCUCAUUUUUUGUGAUUGGAUUUUAGACAUUUUCAUAAAAAUAUUUUCAUAAAGCGGUCAAACAUUGUGCGUAAAACAAAAAUCGGUUUGCUUGUGUCUUAUUUUGUGGAAUUUAGUGCCCAAACAAAAACGUUAGUGACAUUCAUUUGCUUGUUGUGGAUUAAAACUGCGAAAUAAGCUACUGUUGGGCCAAAUAAAAAUGCAAGUGCCAGCACAUUGAUAAAUAAAGUGAGAAUUUAAGAAUGAACUUGUUUCAAAGUCUACAGAGCUCUGCGCCUGCAUCUCCCCUCAUCAUCGUCAUUGCCAGUAAGUCUUCAAUAAAAGGUAAAAGUGAUGUUAAAUAUUCCUUUGUUUAUUUUAUUCAACAACUAUAUUUAUUGCACUGGUUUUCUGCAUGUCAGAUUAAAAUUAUUAUGUUAAUAUUUUUUGGUGUCGGGAACGGAUUACCGUAUUUUUCGGAUUAUAAAUCGCUCCGGAGUAUACGUCACACCGGCCGGAAAUACAUAAUAAAGAAGGGAAAAAAUAUAUGUCGCACUGGAGUAUAAGUCACAUUUUUGGGGGAAAUUUAUUCGAUAAAAUCCAACACUAAGAAUAAACAUUUCAAAGGCAAUUUAAAAUAAAUGAAGAAUAGUGAACAACAGGCUGAAUAAGUGUACGUUAUAUGACGCAUAAAUAACCAACUGAGAAGGUGCCUGGUAUGUUAACGUAACAUAUUAUGGUAAGAGUCAUUCAAAUAACUAUAACAUAUAGAACAUGCUAUACGUUUACCAAACAAUCUGUCAUUCCUAAUCGAUAAAUCCCAUGAACUCUUCUUCCUCGAUGUCGCUUCUUAACAACUCUGCCAACCCCAAAGGUAUGCGCCGCUUCCUCUUGUUGUUUUCUGCUGCAUAUUUCACUACGUCCAGCUUGUAAUCUGCAGUACAUGAUUUCCUUUUCGGUGCCAUUUUUGUUCAGCCCUUCUCAGUUUUUAUAAGUUACGGCCGACGAUGAAAAAAUCAAUUUUAAUAGCUAUGGCAGUAGCAUAUAGCAUUUAGCAUUCCAUGACCCACAAUGCACUUCUGCCAUGACCCUCCCCGCCAAAUUCUUAUUGGUUGACGUGUGUGUGAGACGAUUGCUGACAUUUUAUUCGUCUCUUCCGCGAAUGAGAUAAAUAAUAUUAUUUGAUAUUGUGUAAUCUGCAGUACAUGAUUUCCUUUUCGGUGCUAUUUUUGUUCAGCCCUUCACAGUUUUUAUAAGUUACCGCCAACGAUGAAAUGAUCCAUUUUAAUAGCUAUAGCAGUAGCAUAUAGCAUAUAGCAUUUAGCAUUCCAUGACCCACAAUGCACUUGUGCCAUGACCCUCCCCGCCAAAUUCUUAUUGGUUGACGUGUGUGUGAGACGAUUGCUGACAUUUUCUUCGUCUCUUCCGCGAAUGAGAUAAAUAAUAUUAUUUGAUAUUGUGUAAUCUGCAGUACAUGAUUUCCUUUUCGGUGCCAUUUUUGUUCAGCCCUUCUCAGUUUUUAUAAGUUACCGCCAACGAUGAAAUGAUCCAUUUUAAUAGCUAUAGCAGUAGCAUAUAGCAUAUAGCAGUUAGCAUCCCAUGACCCACAAUGCACUUCUGCAAUGACCCUCUCCCGCCAAAUUCUUAUUUGUUGACGUUUGCUGACAUUUUCUUUGUCUCUUUGCGGAAUGAGAUAAAUAAUAUUAUUUGAUAUUUUACGGUAAUGUGUUAAUACUUUCACACAUAAGUCGUUCCUGAGUAUAAGUCGCACCACCGGCCAAAGUAUGAAAAAAACUGCGACUAAUAAUCCGAAAAAUCCGGUAAUUGGAUUUUCAAAACAGAUUUAUUUGGUUUUACAAUUCUGUCUUUGUCUGACUAUUUUGAACGGAUUAUUAACAAAAACCAAAGUAUGACUGUAUAAUCGCUAAUGCGAAGGUGGUAUUCUACAGGUUUGUACCAAGUUGGAAAUAAUUAUACAUUAAACCGUCUUCACAUAGUUUUAUUUUCUUUGAGAACACUUUGGGAUAAAAAGAACACCAACCAGUAUCAUGAAUAAUACUGCAGCUGUUUUUAGCAAAACAAUCCUGCUCUAAAGGUGCAAUUAUGAAAACAGGUAUGUUGUGGCACACACACACAAUUGACAUGUACUUUGGUGUAGCUCUAACACGAGUGUAAUAGAAAUCUCGGCACUUAUUCCCUAACAAAAGACAAUGCUCAAGUGGCAGAGGUGGCAAAGUGACAUACUGUAUACUGCGUGUCUUCUUUUUAAUAAAUAUGCAGAUGCUACAAAUUGCAUCCAAUGUUUAGGUUGGAUGCAAACCUACUGGAUGUGGUGCAUGUACCUCUGUAACUAUAUGUGCAAAACAGGAUUGUCAAAUGUACAUAGUUAGAAAACAUAGUAACAGAAAUCCAUAAAAAAUAUAUCUUAUUUCCUUUUAUAUAUAGGGCUGGCACACUGUCAAUGGUCCAAUAAAAACAUCUUGUCAACAUAUUGAUGUUGU